rnacentral:rRNA from 2 species
GUCGACGAGCUCUCCCAAAUUGAUUUUAUGCUUGCAUAAAUGAUUUUUGGAUUCGGAGCGAGUGGCGAACUGGUGAGUAACACGUGGGUAACCUGCCCCGAAGCGGGGGAUAACAUUUGGAAACAAGUGCUAAUACCGCAUAAUUAGUUGGAACCGCAUGGUUCCAACUUGAAAGAUGGCUCUGCUAUCACUUUGGGAUGGACCCGCGCCGUAUUAGUUAGUUGGUGAGAUAAAAGCCCACCAAGACGAUGAUACGUAGCCGACCUGAGAGGGUAAUCGGCCACAUUGGGACUGAGACACGGCCCAGACUCCUACGGGAGGCAGCAGUAGGGAAUCUUCCACAAUGGACGAAAGUCUGAUGGAGCAACGCCGCGUGAGUGAUGAAGGUUUUCGGAUCGUAAAACUCUGUUGUUAAAGAAGAACAAGUGUUAGAGUAACUGUUAACACUUUGACGGUAUUUAACCAGAAAGCCACGGCUAACUACGUGCCAGCAGCCGCGGUAAUACGUAGGUGGCAAGCGUUGUCCGGAUUUAUUGGGCGUAAAGCGAGCGCAGGCGGUUUUGUAAGUCUGCUGUGAAAGCCCUCAGCUCAACUGAGGAAGUGCAGUGGAAACUACAAAACUUGAGUACAGAAGAGGAAAGUGGAACUCCAUGUGUAGCGGUGAAAUGCGUAGAUAUAUGGAAGAACACCAGUGGCGAAGGCGGCUUUCUGGUCUGUUACUGACGCUGAGGCUCGAAAGCAUGGGUAGCGAACAGGAUUAGAUACCCUGGUAGUCCAUGCCGUAAACGAUGAAUACUAGGUGUUGGAGGGUUUCCGCCCUUCAGUGCCGCAGCUAACGCAUUAAGUAUUCCGCCUGGGGAGUACGACCGCAAGGUUGAAACUCAAAGGAAUUGACGGGGGCCCGCACAAGUGGUGGAGCAUGUGGUUUAAUUCGAUGCUACGCGAAGAACCUUACCAGCUCUUGACAUCUUCUGCCAACCCAAGAGAUUGGGCGUUCCCUUCGGGGACAGAAUGACAGGUGGUGCAUGGUUGUCGUCAGCUCGUGUCGUGAGAUGUUGGGUUAAGUCCCGCAACGAGCGCAACCCUUAUUAUUAGUUGCCAGCAUUUAGUUGGGCACUCUAGUGAGACUGCCGGUGAUAAACCGGAGGAAGGUGGGGACGACGUCAAAUCAUCAUGCCCCUUAUGAGCUGGGCUACACACGUGCUACAAUGGAUGGUACAACGAGUCGCGAAACCGCGAGGUCAAGCUAAUCUCUUAAAGCCGUUCUCAGUUCGGAUUGCAGGCUGCAACUCGCCUGCAUGAAG